AGCGAACGCUAGCGGCGGGCCUAACACAUGCAAGUCGAGCGGAGGGAGCAAUCCUUCAGCGGCGGACGGGUGAGUAACGCGUAGGUAAUGUACCUUCUGGUGGGGAAUAACCGUGGGAACCAUGGCUAAUACCGCAUAUCGUCCUUACGGAUGAAAGCCUUCGGGCGCCAGAAGAGCAGCCUGCGUCCCAUUAUUUAGUCCUAGUUGGUGAGGUAACGGCUCACCAAGGGUACGAUGGGUAGCUGGUCUGAGAGGAUGAUCAGCCACACUGGAACUGAGACGCGGUCCAGACUCCUACGGGAGGCAGCAGUGGGGGAAUAUUGCGCAAUGGGCGAAAGCCUGACGCAGCCACGCCGCGUGAGUGAUGAAGGCCUUCGGUUG
rnacentral:rRNA from 1 species